AGUAAUACAUCGAAACAAAAACUAAUUAGUUGGGGAUAACUCAUCGAAAGAUGAGCUAAUACCGAAUAAGCUCUGAGGAGGAAAGUUGGGGACUGGAAACGGCCUGACGCUGAUAGAUUGGUCGAUGGUCGAUUAGCUAGUUGGUGGGGUAAAGGCUUACCAAGGCGAUGAUCGAUAGCUGUUCUGAGAGGAAGAUCAGCCACACUGGAACUGAGACACGGUCCAG
rnacentral:rRNA from 1 species